rnacentral:rRNA from 1 species
AGGGAAUAUUGGGCAAUGGGCGCAAGCCUGACCCAGCAACGCCGCGUGAGGGAAGAAGGUUUUCGGAUUGUAAACCUCUGUCCUAUGUGACGAAGGAAGUGACGGUAGCAUAGGAGGAAGCCCCGGCUAACUACGUGACAGCAGCCGCGGUAAUACGUAGGGGGCGAGCGUUGUCCGGAAUUACUGGGCGUAAAGGGUGCGUAGGCGGUUUUGUAAGUUGGAUGUGAAAUACCCGGGCUUAACUUGGGGGCUGCAUCCAAUACUGCAGGACUUGAGUGCAGGAGAGGAAAGCGGAAUUCCUAGUGUAGCGGUGAAAUGCGUAGAUAUUAGGAGGAACACCGGUGGCGAAGGCGGCUUUCUGGACUGUAACUGACGCUGAGGCACGAAAGCGUGGGGAGCAAAC